rnacentral:rRNA from 1 species
GAACCGGAACUUGAUUUCUUUCUUUCCAAUUUAAAUGGAGGGUAGUCUUAUAGGUGCUCUUAACUGGGCGCUUAUAAUGACCCCUCCCGUUGACCGUGCUUAAAUUCGCGUGUUCAAAGCAAGCAUUUUAUUCGCUUGAAGAGUCUAGCAUGGGAUCAUAUAAUAUGGACUUGUUUGAGAUUUUUCUUCUCAUCUCCCAAGUCAAUGACAAAUAGGGGCAAGCGGGGGCAGAGGGACUCCAUCGUUAGAGGUGAAAUUCUUAGACCGAUGGAAGACCAACAGAAGCCAAAGCGUCUGUCAAGGGUGUGCCCAUUGAUCAAGAACGAAAGUUAGGGGAUCAAAUACGAUCAGACACCGUAGUAGUCCUAACCUUAAACGAUACCGACCGGGGAUGGGGUAAGGUAUAUAAUUACACUUACCUAUCCUGUACCCUGCGAGAAAUCAAGAGUGUUUGGGUUCCGGGGGGAGUACGGUCGCAAGGCUGAAACUUAAAGGAAUUGACGGAAGGGCAAACCAGAAGUGGAACCUGCGGCUUCCAAUUCGACCCAACACGGGAAAACUUACCAGGUCCAGACAUGGGAAGGAUGGACAGAUUGAUAGCUCUUUCUUGAUUCCAUGAGUGGUGGUGCAUGGCCGUUCUUAGUUGGUGGAGUGAUUUGUCUGGUUGAUUCCGAUAACGAACGAGAUCACGAGAGGGUAGUUGGGGGUAUAAAAAAAUUUUUUGGGAGGGGGGUUAAAUGGGUGAAGUUUUUAAAGCGAAGUUGGUUUAGGCUAACUCACUUUGAAUGAAUCUCUAUCCCUCUCCCACCCCACUUACUCCGACCGGGGUGUUUCAACACCCAGGAAGGUCGUGGCAAUAACAGGUCUGUGAUGCCCUUAGAUGUUCUGGGCUGCACGCGCGUUACACUGACAGAGACAAAAAGUAUUUCGACCCCUUUAAAAAAGGGUCAAAGCUUGACUGAUAAGUCUGGCAAAUCUUAACGAGACUCUGUCGUGAUGGGGAUAGAUGGUUGAAAUUAGGCAUCUUGAACGAGGAAUUCCUAGUAAACGUGGUUGAUCAAACCGCGUUGAUUACGUCCCUGCCCUUUGUACACACCGCCCGUCGCUCCUACCGAUUGAAUGAAAAGGUGAAAAGAAGGGAGUUGGGAGGGUGUAUGCCUUUUUGAUGAACCUCUUUGAACCAUUUCAUUUAGAGGAAGGAGAAGUCGUAACAAGGUUUUCGUAGGUGACCUGCGGAAG